rnacentral:lncRNA from 1 species
CUGGAAAAUUUUUGUCCACUGCGACAGCAUAAAGCUAAGUUCUUACGUAAUUUUUAGAUCAUCGCCUGAUCACGGAAUAAGAGAAAAUCGACUGCAAAUUUAGAAGAAAAAACAAAGUCAAAGUCCAUUAUUGUUUUUCCGUCGAUUCUUAGUAAAUAAAAUUAUUCAAAGCAACGACCUCUAAAAGUCUGCUAGCUUAAUUAACCUAUAGAGCUCACUUGCUUGUAUCAACACCUAGAGAUGUCGCAAAUAUGUCCCAGAAGAUAGCCUGAAUAAAGAGGUAAUGCAUUUUUUUUCUUAAAAAAAACAAGAUCAUUAUGGAUGCAUUUUUUCUAAAAAAAAACAAGAUCCAAAUAAUGAUUAUAUACAGCCCCCAUAAUAUAAAUCUACGUUCUUUUCUCCGUAUGAACAUUAGCUAACU